AUUGAACGCUGGCGGCAUGCUUUACACAUGCAAGUCGAACGGUAACAGGCCGCAAGGUGCUGACGAGUGGCGAACGGGUGAGUAAUGCAUCGGAACGUGCCCAGUCGUGGGGGAUAACUACUCGAAAGAGUAGCUAAUACCGCAUACGAUCUAUGGAUGAAAGCGGGGGACCGUAAGGCCUCGCGCGAUUGGAGCGGCCGAUGUCAGAUUAGGUAGUUGGUGGGGUAAAGGCUCACCAAGCCAACGAUCUGUAGCUGGUCUGAGAGGACGACCAGCCACACUGGGACUGAGACACGGCCCAGACUCCUACGGGAGGCAGCAGUGGGGAAUUUUGGACAAGGGGCGCAAGCCUGAUCCAGCAAUGCCGCGUGCAGGAAGAAGGCCUGCGGGUUGUAAACUGCUUUUGUACGGAACGAAACGGCUCUGGUUAAUACCCGGGGCUAAUGACGGUACCGUAAGAAUAAGCACCGGCUAACUACGU
rnacentral:rRNA from 1 species